UACAAGUAUAAAAGGUAGUGUUAGUGCUGUUUCGAAUCAUUCAGUCUUGUGUUUGUGAAUCGACAGCAAUCAUGAAGGUGUUGGCAUUAUUGAUCGUCGUAGCUGUGGUCUGCGUGGCCAUCGAAGCGAGGCCCAGGGCCCAGGGCCCGUACAAUGAUCAGGAACCAGGAUCGAUGUCAGAAAUGUACUUGGAAAUAAAAGAUAUGCUCAAACCGGAAAAUCUUGAGCAGCACCUGUUGUCGGACCAAAGUACUGAUAUCUUAAAAUAAAUAAAUGAUGUGAAGUAAACUGUUUGUUUUUA